CUUAAUUUUUUUUUCGAGUGGCAUAUAAUAUCCUGAUUGUAUGCUAAAUAUAUUUUCCUUUUUUAAUUAGGGCUUGAAAAAGCUUGGCCAGUCUAUAGAGUCAUCAUACUCCAGUAUACAAAAAUUGGUCAUAAGUCAUUUACAGAGUGGCUCGGAGUCUUUAUUAUACCAUUUGAGUGAAUUGAAAGGAAUGGCUUCAUGGAAGCAAAAAUAUGAACCUCUUGGACUAGAUGCUGCAGGAAUCGAAGAAGCUAUAACUGCUGUGGGUUCUUUUAUACUCAAGGCAAAUGAACUUCUUCAAGUUAUAGAUAGUAGUAUGAAAAACUUCAAAGCAUUUUUUCGGUGGCUUUAUGUGGCAAUGUUGAGAAUGACAGAAGACCAUGUGCUUCCCGAGCUGAAUAAGAUGACUCAGAAAGAUAUCACAUUUGUUGCUGAAUUUCUUACUGAACAUUUCAAUGAGGCUCCAGACCUUUAUAAUCGAAAAGGAAAAUACUUUAACGUUGAAAGAGUUGGUCAGUACUUGAAAGAUGAAGAUGAUGAUCUUGUGUCACCCCCUAACACAGAAGGAAAUCAGUGGUAUGACUUUCUU
rnacentral:sRNA from 1 species